ACCCCUUGCACCUUAACUGGGUGGGGAAAUAUUUGAAGGAGAAAACCCCCCAUGCUACGGAACCAGGCCGAGAGCUGGAGGACGGCUGGGUGGGGGUGGGCGCAGGGAGCAGCAGCAGGGCCGUGAGGGGCCGUGAGGUGCCCCUUUUAGGGGUGCAGAGCGCAGAGCCCCCCAUGGGGCGCCCCCAGCCCCUCUCCCCGGUGGAGGCCCGGCCCCGGCGGGGCGGAGCGGGGCGGCCCCUGGCGGUGCGGCGGCGGCGGGCGGAGCCGGGUGCGGGCGCGGCCCGUGGCCCUGCGGCUCUCGGCGGAGCGGCUCCGGCGGGGCUCCCCCUCUCCCCCCGACCCCCCCGACCCCCAGCCCCGGCGAUGGGCGCCCGCGGGCCGGCGGCCGGGGCAGGCGGCGGAGGAGGAGGAAGAGGAGGAGGAGGCGGCGGGGGCCGCUGACCGCGCCGGGCCGCCGGGGCUGGAGCUGGAGCUGGAGCUGGAGCUGGAGAGAGGCCCCGGGCCCGGCCGCCGUGGGUGGGAACCCGCUCCAGUUUCGGGUCCGCUUUGUGCCCUCGGCCUCCCCAGCUCCCCGUGGCAGCGGUUUAACGGUGAGCUCCGCUUUUAUCCACGCCAGCCUCCAGCCCGCGUGGCGUGGGGAGCGCGGCGCUGCCCGCUGGAGGAGAGGCCUGGUGCCGAAAAGCUGCCCCUUCAUCCUCCCCGGCGCUGCCUCUGCCUCCCCAUCUGCCUGUCGAGAUGCUGCUCCAUGUGCUGCCUCCAUAGCCCAGCCUCCCGCAGGGGCUGUGCUUCGGGGAGCUUUCCAGCAAGCAGCCCGCCCCCGGGGCUGGGGGGAGCAGGUUUGGGGGACGCCGCCACGCUCUCAGCCCCCCUCACGCCCUGAGCACGGAGGGGAACUUCCUAGCAAGCAUCCAGCUGUAAGGUCGGGGUCCUGGCACAUCCCACUUCGCACCUCGGCCCUGCUCCUCCUUCCCACCCCGUGUCCCCUGCCGCUCCCCGCGAGGCCCCGCAGCCAGCCGGGGCUGGCAGCUGCUGCAGGGCUGGCCCUGAGGCCCCGGGCUGGGUGCCAGCACCCUCAGGUCCUAACUGCGCUCCUGCUGGGGGGCC
rnacentral:lncRNA from 1 species